rnacentral:lncRNA from 1 species
AUGACUUAAUUAAAUGGAAAAAUAACCUUCUGGACCCUUGUACUACGUCGGUUUUGUAAGUUGGAUACUUCUACUUACAUGUUUGCCAUCUGGACCCCUGAACCCACUAAAAAGAAAUAUUUUAAACCCCUUUUUGGUGAGUGUAACACACUCUUCCCACGUCAGCUGUCACAUCAGCUGCCACAUCUGCCUCAUCUACCAC